GCCAGGUGCAGUGGCACACGCCUGUAAUCCCAGCAGCUUGGGAGGCUGAGGCAGGAGGAUCACGAGUUCAUAGCCAAUCUCAGCAAUUUAGCAAGGUGCUAAGUAGGUCCGUGAGACCCUGUCUGUA
rnacentral:sRNA from 1 species